rnacentral:rRNA from 1 species
CAAGACCUCGCGCUAUUAGAGCGGCCGAUGCCCGAUUAGCUAGUUGGUGAGGUAAUGGCCCACCAAGGCAACGAUCGGUAGCUGGUCUGAGAGGAUGAUCAGCCACACUGGGACUGAGACACGGCCCAGACUCCUACGGGAGGCAGCAGUGGGGAAUUUUGGACAAUGGGCGAAAGCCUGAUCCAGCCAUGCCGCGUGAGUGAAGAAGGCCUUCGGGUUGUAAAGCUCUUUCAGCCGGAACGAAAUCGUCCGGGCUAAUACUUCGGAUGGAUGACGGUACUGGAAGAAGAAGCACCGGCUAACUACGUGCCAGCAGCCGCGGUAAUACGUAGGGUGCAGGCGUUAAUCGGAAUUACUGGGCGUAAAGCGUGCGCAGGCGGCUUUCCAAGUCAGAUGUGAAAUCCCCGGGCUUAACCUGGGAACU